rnacentral:lncRNA from 1 species
CUCACGCUCUCUCUCUCUCUCUCUCUCUCUCUCGCGUGUGCACUGGUCACUCCCCGUGUCCUUGGUUUUCCUCAAAUCAUUGACCCCAACCUAACCUUCUAGUUGCCGGCAACGGUCGUCGAUGCUGGUGGUGGUCAGUCACAACUGAUAGCCUUCAAUUUUGUUGCUUUACUUGUCCAUAGUUGCAACUUUAAAGUGGUAAGUUGUCAAUAUCCUUUAUGAAAUUGUGGGUUAUUUCUGGAUCUUCAAAGUUUUUGUGAUUUUUUUGGUGAUUUUAUCUACUUGACUGCGUGAUUUGAACAUGGAAAUGAACUGCUAAAAUAAGAUUCGUGAUAAACCUUAUUAUCAGCAACAAGUUUGUCCACCAAUUGAACAAAAGGAUUAAAUUGAGGAUUUUUAGUUUAGUAGCUUCACCUGAUUCCAAUCUGCUGUCUUUAAUAGAUUCUGCUUGAUCUGUUAGAUGUUGUUGCAGAUCUGUUAUUUCUUGACGUAGAUUGCAGUUUACUCUGUUAGAAAUAAAUAACUCUUUUAUUUUGAGUUUUGCAUAUGUAAGUUAAUGGUGCUGAUCGUUGAUAUGUGGAUAUGUACUCAUAGUACAUGUACAUUCUUUUAUCAUCUCUUGUUUCUAUAUUUGUUUUAUGUUGUGGUUUCCAGUUCAUAGAAAAUGGCCUAUGGUGAGGAUAUUCAGCCCCUUGUUUGUGACAAUGGAACUGGAAUGGUGAAGGUUCGUAAACAUUUUUAAAUUCUCUAGUCUUCAGUUUUCAAUUUAUUAUGUAAUUAAUUUCGAGGGACUUGUUUAAUGUUACUCCUGCAGGCUGGUUUUGCCGAUGAUGAUGCUCCUGCAGAUACGUGAUAAACCUUUCUUUCCAUUGCCAAACUCCAACAAUAUGCUUAGAUUGUGAUGGAGGUAUUCAACACAAUGGUGAUGCACUGGGUGGAACCAAUGUUGGUGAUAUUAAAAGAAUGGAAACAAAACAAGCAGUGUCUCCACCCUUUUUCUCACUCGUCUCCAUUUUCUAGCAUGUUGCUCUGUCUACUCUGCUAAUAUAUUUUUUUUAUUGAAUUAAAAACACAGUCACAUAGACAGGGGCGAAUCCAGGAUUUUGAGUCAGCACGGGCGGCCGUUGACCAUCUAUCGCCGAUCGCAACAAAAUAUUAAGAGUCCAUUUGAUGCCAUUUUUUUUUUGUAAAAAAUGCAUUUUUGAACAGUGAUUUCAAGGAGAAAGUGUGGCUAAAAAUAAAUAAAUUUUUUGAAUUUGCAUAUAAUAUUAUUUUAUUGAAAAAUGUGUAAAUAAAAAGAAGAGAAAAAAUGGGAAUCGAAUAAAGCCUAAAGUUUAAAUAUAACAAUUAUUUUGUUCAAAUUGAAUAUAUAUAAUUUUAUUAUAAGAAUAAAGAUGACUCAUUAAAUGACAUUAUUGUCAAGUUUUGUAUAAUUUAAAGGAAGAGGGCG